rfam:Glycine max cultivar Williams 82 chromosome 15, whole genome shotgun sequence.
GGAGUGAUUUGCAGCCAAGAAUGACUUGCCCGAAUGCAUGCACUAGGUUCAAUAUAUAGUUGUAUAUAUAAUCCCGGCAAGUUGUUUUUGGCUAUACUUAUCUCUCU